rnacentral:lncRNA from 1 species
UGAAACUGGUAUUUUGUAGGCUAAAUAACAAUUGUCCGAUUUUACAGUUCAAAAUAAAACUACAAGAUUUUAUUAAAUUUUUACAUUUAAAUUUCGAGAAAAAAAGAAUUGUUGGUAUUGAACAAGAUUCUGUCAACCAGCAAGAGUACUGAUUACGAAAUGUUUGUAUGAAAUAAACCCGGAGGAGCAGCAACGGAUAUUACGGUGUAGGUGUCAGACUACCAAUUGAAACAAUGCCAUAUAAAACGUAAAACUACGCAUACCCUGACAAUAAUAGUGCUGUUGGUGUCAUUGUUUAAUUGAACUAAUUAACACAUAAGAAAAAAAAAAUAUUUUGUGAAGAAAAAAAAAUCAGGUAAAUUUUAAACCAAAUUUUACUCAGCUAUGAAUUAGAAUUAAGAACA